AUCGAACUCAGGUCCUUGCACUUGUGCAGCAGGUGGCGAAACCGCUGAGCUAAAUCCCUGACCCCUCCCCUUUUUUAAUAGAUCAGUCUGAUGUCCUUUUUCAGAGUUGUGCCCCAUUUGGCUCUUCUGAAGCUGAAGCCCCUUCCCAUUUUCUCCUCAGUAAAAGCUUUUGCCUAUAAAUUCAUGCAGUAGCCACAAUUUUAAUUGCCUUUAUCACUAGAAGGACCCAUGCUGGUUGGUACAGCUUUACCCUUGGGAAGAGGAGGCCCGUUAUGAUUUAAAUCUAAAGUGUCCCCCUAAAAGGCUAUGUGCUUAGAGGAAGGCAUUUGGGAAAUGAUUGGCUUAUGAGGACUCUAACUUCAUCAAUGGAUUAAUCCAUUGACAGGAUCAUAAUUUGAUGGCAUUACUGGGAAGUGGUGGAAAUGAGAUGGGGACCUUGUUGGAGGGAGUGGACCAUGGAGGUGUGACAUUGGGGAAUAUAUUUAGUCCCCAGUCCUUCCCCCUGGGUGUUUCCUUCUCUCUCUACUUCCUGGCCAUCAAGAGGUGAGUAGCUUUCCUCUGCCACAUUCUUCCGCUGUGAUGGUCACCACUGGCCUAAAACCAAUGGAACCAGCUGACCAUGGACUGAAACCUCCGAAACCAUGAGCCACACCAAACCCUUCCUCCUUUGACUUGUUUUUCACAGGCAACUCACAAUGAUAGAAAGCUGGCUAACAUAGCUCUAAAGUAGAUAAAUCUGGCCAGGGAUUUAGCUCAGUGGUUUCACCGCCUGCUGCGCAAGUGCAAGGACCCGAGUUCGAUCCCCAGCACCAAAAACAAAAAACAAAUAAAGUAGAUAAAGCUGAUCUUCAGGGAAACACCUCCCCCAAAAAGAAAAGGAAAGAACCAGUACUUGAAACAGUUGUUUACCCAUCAUGCAAGUACUUAUUCUCCCUUCCAGCCCACCUUCCUUGGACUUCUGAUUCUCAUUUUCUCUCUCCACAGACUCCAACCUUUUGGGUUGCUGUUCACUAGGCUGGCCUUGAACUUUGUGAUCUGCCUCAGCCUUCUGAGUGCUGGGAUCACAGGCGUGCGCCACUAUGCCCAGCAAUGUGGAGAACUAUUGAUCUGAGAUAUUUUAAAUAAAUGAAGACAUUUGGACUCAGAGAGAUAAGCAAUUUGCCUGAUCAUUCUGGUUUUUCUUUCUUCAACCCUGCCAGUGAGCCACAGCACCUCAAGGAACCUGGGGUCAGGGGAGGCUUACCGGCCCAUCAGCCACCUCACUCCUGACAACAAACGGUUGCAACCAGCCAAAAACUUACCUCUGGAGGUUUUCUGAGGUCUGUGCCUGAGAGUCUCCUGCUGGAUCCCGCCACAGAGUCUCAGCUGAACCGGGGUUCCUUACCCGGGGAUCUCGCUGGGGCCUCCAAAUGUAAGACC
rnacentral:lncRNA from 1 species